rnacentral:rRNA from 1 species
AGGACGAACGCUGGCGGCGUGCUUAACACAUGCAAGUCGAACGGAGUCCAAGCAGUCGCAAGACUGCGGAAGACUCAGUGGCGAACGGGUGCGUAACACGUGAGGAACUUGUCCCGGUCUCUGGAAUAACAGGUGGAAACACCUGCUAAUACCGGAUGCCGUCGGACCAUCGCAUGGUGGUCUGACGAAAGGGUUACCGGAUUGGGAGAGCCUCGCGGCCUAUCAGCUUGUGGUGAGGUAACGGCUCACCAAGGCAUCGACGGGUAGCUGGUCUGAGAGGAUGAUCAGCCACACUGGGACUGAGACACGGCCCAGACUCCUACGGGAGCCAGCAGUGGGGAAUCUUGCACAAU